ensembl:lncRNA
CUUCUUUUCAUUUGAGGUUGGAACUAAACGAUCUCUGAAAGUCCCUUCCAACCGAAGCCAUUCUCUCAUUCUGUGAUCUACUGGCGGCAUUGUUUGAGUUUCUAGAAUAUUUACGCAGGCUUUUGCAAUUGCACCACAUUUUCAAGGUUGUUCCCAUUUUUAUUUUUUUUAGCAUUUCCAUUUGUUCACGUACUUCAGUCCGGAGCACCCCCCUGACCCCAGGACAGCUUGCUUCUCCUCCCCCAUCUGUAGCGCUGCCAACAGAGGCAGAACCACUGUGCUUACAUUGCAGUGGCUGCAGCAGGCAGGGACUGCGGUGUGCUGGGUCAAUGGUGGGAUGGGCGAUGUGAACUCAAGGGAAAUGAAGAGAUAAUGGCUGCAAUGCCCUCUUUUUGCUCUAGGGUGUUUUUUUUUUUUUUUUUUUUUUCCACUUUCCUCCCCCUCUCUAAGCUCCCGUGCCUGCUUUAAUCACCAUUGCAGAGCGCUGCGCAGAGAGAUGGCUGAGUACAAAGUGCAGGGGAAGCAGUGGGAGGGUCAGGUGAGGACUGAGAAGGGCGAGAGGAAAAGGUCAGUGACGCAAGCCCAGCGCGAUGGCUCUCCCUCAGCUGAGCCGCUCUGCUGUUUGUCCGUGGUGCGCUAUUUCUUCUCGGCAACAAUUCACACAUCUGGGGACCACAACUCCUUCCACCGCCCACGCUCUUCCUCCCCCCUCAUAGGGGCUGAGGCAAGGGAGGGGGAAGGAGGGGAGCUGCUGCACGGGGCUGCCGGCAUCGUUUCCAAGACGGAAGGGGAAUAAAAGUCUCAAGCAGUCCUUCUCCACAGCCGACUUCCCUCCAGGCGUUGAGGACCUCUGAUGGAGGGACCUGCUUCUUGCAAAGAAAGAAAGGGGGGAUCCUUGCUCAUGGUUGGUCAGAAAAAUGCAUUGGCACUCCUGUUCUUGAAACAUAGAAGCAAUGGUGCACGUUUUUUUUCCCUUAGAACUCAGGUCUCACCUGCAGAGCUGUGACUAAGGGAUGGGACCCUGGUGCCUGUGGACAUGUGCUGUCUUUGGGCUGUUUCCAGAGGGCUGGCUGGUCACAUUUCCCAGUUUCUCUCCUGCCAGUCUUCAGAUUGUCAGCAAGAGCAUCCAGAUGACACCUCUGAGACCCCUGGACUGUGUCAAGAGCAGUGAGGAGAGAGGUGUUGUGCUCCGAACCACUCCAAGUGCGUGCUUGAUGCUGUGUUGCAGUCUGAACUGAAAUGCUCUGCCAGAAAUGGCUUUCAG